rnacentral:lncRNA from 1 species
GCAGGACGGCCCCAGGGUUGGCCUGUGCUGAUGGUGCCACCUGGUGGUAGACAUGGGAACGCCCUCACCUGAGAUUUCCUCUCCGUGACCCUUCUUCCCCCUCUAGGGGUCCUGGGCUGCCCUGAGGCCACCGCCUAGCAAGAUCAAGAUAGGGCUUGAGCGGCAGUGGGAUAGGGCAGUGGGGGUUCCGGGGGGGUCCGGUGCAGGCAGAACCAAGAGUGUGCCGGCGGAGGGCUGUCGGUACAGGGUGCAGGGCGUGGCGGCUGCAGGACCUCAGCUUGCCUCUUUAAAUCCCUUCCUGGGCACCGCGGUGGCCCGGCCCUUUCCCCUCGUGCUGUUUCUGCUGGAAACGCCGCACAGUCUCCUCGGGGGCAGCCGCCAGCGGAAACGGUUAUUGGCCGCCAGGCAAGCCAGUCCCAUCCUUCCCAGCAACUGGGACUUUCCGGGCAGGGCUCCCCAGCGCGGGUUCAGCUAAUUAAGGAAGCAAUUAGCCUCCCCUGAGGCUAUUCAUGCUUCCUCACCCACAGUUCUCAGGUUCUGUGAGACCAGAGCCUCAGUCUCCCGUGAGCAGAGGGUGUGUGUGUGGCUGCCACUAUUCUGCAGACACGCUGGCUCCACCCCAGAGAGUUGCAGGGCCAGGAAAUCUGCAUUUAAACAGACCCUGGCUCUCACACUUCGGAAACUGCCCGAAGCACCUCUCAAAUAUGGGACAGGUGCUUAGGCCGAAAAUCAGGAAUCUCUUGAAUGAAUGCAUGAAGGUGGAGCCCUUUCCCUUAAUGCGCAGGUGAAAAGGGCACCUCGGUGGAUUCUACUAAAUUUAAUAGAAGACCCAAGACGGGGUGGGGGAGACGUGCUUUGUGCUCACCUGGCUGGUUCAUGGGCAGGUGGCCUGGAGGACCCAGCCCUGGCAGCUGUGGGGUAGCUCCAGCCUGGGCCGGACAGCUUCUUUCAUCGCAGGCACCACUGCGGACAUUGCUGGGAGGAAGAGGAGGGAGAAGCGACGGGCUUCAUUAGGAACGGAAAUGCCAAGAUUAGUGAAAGAAUGAAAAGAGUCAAAACAGCCUAGAAAAGGCUUCAAUGAUCCUCAAACUGGAUGAUCGAAUCCCGAAUAAUUGGGAAUCAACAGUAAAGGCCAAAGCUUUCGAUGGAUUGGACGAGGCGCGUCCACCCUGGGGAGGGCCAUCAUUUUAUUCAGUCUACUGAUGCAAAUGCUUAUCUCUUCUGGAAACACCUUCACAGACAGACCCAGAAUAUAGUUGAACCAAAUACUGGGCACCUCAUGGCUCCAACAGGUUGACACAAAAAAUGAACCAUUGCAGAAAACGAAGAACAGUCACCAACUCCCACCCAUGCAGCUGGCUCAUUUGCUGGGCUGCCCUCCCCAGCAGGUGGCACAGGAAUCCCUGCCUUGGCAGGGAGGAGGCCUGGGGUGUGUGCAGGUACCCAUGGGAAGUUUCUUUGCCAUGGGGAAAGCCAGAGUCACCCCUUGCUUGAACACAAGAGUUGGAGGUUUCAGUGAGCUGAGAUUACGCUAUUGCACUCCAGCCUGGGCGGCAGAGUGAGACUCUGUCUCUAGAUAAAUAAAUUAAAUAAAUAAAUAAAUAUAAUUUAAUAUAAAUAACUAGAAAUUUUUCAAUACUUGCAUCUCUGUAGGUUACCUCUGGAAGUGCAGGGCUUUGUCUUUUUGGAUUAACUCAGAAAUUAGACCUUCAGAAAACAACAUCAGCUCUGAUUCUCUGCACCCUUGAUGCUGCCGGUGGCGACUGCGGCUUCCUGAUGGAAAUGUAGACCUGAACAUAAGUCGCAGAAAAAUGCAGACUUGAGUUGGAGCUAAGCUGACUCAGAGCUGCCCUAGAAAGAGGCCCCGUGGCAAAGAACCAAAGGCACCCAGCAACACGAGUGAGGGUGGAAGUGGCUCUUUCCCCAUUCCAGCCUCGCGGUGACCGCAGCCCUGGCUGACACCUUGCUUGCAGCCUGGUGAGAGACAGCAGCCCGAGGACCCUGCUAAGCUGCACCCAGGCUCCUGACCCAUGGAAACUGUGAGAUGAUAAACAUGUACUGCUUAAGCUGAGAUUCGGGCUAAUUUGUUACACAGUCAUAGACAUCGUUUUUUGUUGUUGUUGUUUUUUGAGAUGGAGUCUCACUCUGUCGCCCAGGCUGGAGUGCAGUGGCACAAUCUCAGCUCACUGCAACAUCCACCUCCCAGGUUCAAGCGAUUCUCGUGCCUCAGCCUCCCAAGUAGCUGGGAUUACAGGCAUCUGCCACCAUGCCCGGCUAAUUUUUUUGUAUCUUUAGGAGAGACAGGGUUUCACCAUGUUGGCCAGCUGGUCUCAAACUCCUGAGCUCAAGAGAUCUGCCCACCUUGGCCUCCCAAAGUGCUGGGAUUACAGGCAUGAGCCACUGUGCCCGGCCUGUUACACAGUCAUAGACAUCUAUAAAAUACUCAACACGGUGCCGGCGCAUGGCAAGCAUCAGUUACUGACCACGGUGACCCUUCUGUGUACACCAGGGGAACUCAAAAUACUCAGGAAAUCUAAGCAUAUAAGCCUAGUCACCAGGCUGUCGACAUGACCCUUAACAAUGAACCUGUGUCUUUUGCCACCUCAUGAUGUCAUAGAAGAAGAGCAGCAUCAAUGUUAAGAGUCUGGAGGAGGGACUAGAUGCUGUGGCUCACACCUGUAAUCCCAGCACUUUGGGAGGCCGAGGCAGGUGGAUCACCU